CCCUUUUCGGGCCUUUGUAGGGCCAGCUACGGCGGGUGGAAGUUUGACCCCGCUGGGGGGAGUACGGGGUCCGGCAAGGAUUUAAAAAACUCAAAAAGGAUUGACGGGGGAACCCCGCCACAAGCCGGUGGNAAUGAAAUGUGGAAUUAAUUUCGAAUGCAAACGCGAAAAAACCUUACCCUACCCNUUUGACAUGUCUGGAUUCCGAAGAGAUUUGGAAGUGCUCGCAAGAGAACCGGAACACAGGUGCUGCAUGGCUGUCGUCAGCUCGUGUCGUGAGAUGUUGGGUUAAGUCCCGCAACGAGCGCAACCCUUGUCAUUAGUUGCUACGAAAGGGCACUCUAAUGAGACUGCCGGUGACAAACCGGAGGAAGGUGGGGAUGACGUCAAGUCCUCAUGGCCCUUAUGGGUAGGGCUUCACACGUCAUACAAUGGUCGGGACAGAGGGUCGCCAACCCGCGAGGGGGAGCCAAUCCCAGAAACCCGAUCGUAGUCCGGAUCGCAGUCUGCAACUCGACUGCGUGAAGUCGGAAUCGCUAGUAAUCGCGGAUCAGCAUGUCGCGGUGAAUACGUUCCCGGGUCUUGUACACACCGCCCGUCACACCAUGGGAGUGGGUUUUACCAGAAGUAGUUAGCCUAACCGCAAGGGGGGCGAUUACCACGGUAGGAUUCAUGACUGGGGUGAAGUCGUAACAAGGUAACC
rnacentral:rRNA from 1 species